rnacentral:tRNA from 4 species
GCGCCCGUAGCUCAAUUGGAUAGAGCAUCUGACUACGGAUCAGAAGGUUGGGGGUUCGAGUCCCUCCGGGCGCGCCA